UACGUAGGGAGCAAGCGUUGUCCGGAAUCAUUGGGCGUAAAGAGCGUGUAGGCGGCCCGGUAAGUCGGUUGUGAAAGUCAAGGGCUCAACCCUUGAAAGCCGACCGAUACUGCCGGGCUAGAAUCCGGAAGAGGCGAGUGGAAUUCCUGGUGUAGCGGUGAAAUGCGCAGAUAUCGGGAGGAACACCAAUGGCGAAGGCAGCUCGCUGGGACGGUACUGACGCUGAGACGCGAAAGCGUGGGGAGCAAACAGG
rnacentral:rRNA from 1 species